rnacentral:piRNA from 1 species
UAAGUCAAUCUCCUUAGUCCUUCAGUGUUA